CAUACGACUCUCGGCAACGGAUAUCUCGGCUCUCGCAUCGAUGAAGAACGUAGCGAAAUGCGAUACUUGGUGUGAAUUGCAGAAUCCCGUGAACCAUCGAGUCUUUGAACGCAAGUUGCGCCCGAGGCCUUUCGGCUGAGGGCACGCCUGCCUGGGCGUCACGC
rnacentral:rRNA from 2 species